UACGUAGGGGGCAAGCGUUGUCCGGAUUUAUUGGGCGUAAAGAGCGUGUAGGCGGCCAAGCAGGUCCGCUGUGAAAACUCGAGGCUCAACCUCGAGACGUCGGUGGAAACCGUUUGGCUAGAGUCCGGAAGAGGAGAGUGGACUUCCCGGUGUAGCGGUGAAAUGCGCAGAUAUCGGGAAGAACACCCGUGGCGAAGGCGGCUCUCUGGGACGGUACUGACGCUGAGACGCGAAAGCGUGGGGAGCGAACAGG
rnacentral:rRNA from 1 species